rnacentral:rRNA from 1 species
ACUCAACGCCGGGCAGCUCACCGGAUAAGACAGCUGGAUGAUAGCCGGGCUGAAGACUCUGCUUGACUAGCUGAGAGGAGGUGCAUGGCCGUCGUCAGCUCGUACUGUGAAGCAUCCUGUUAAGUCAGGCAACGAGCGAGACCCACGCCAACAGUUGCCAGCAUGUCCUCCGGGAUGAUGGGGACACUGUUGGGACCGCCUCUGCUAAAGAGGAGGAAGGAAUGGGCAACGGUAGGUCAGCAUGCCCCGAAUUAUCCGGGCUACACGCGGGCUACAAUGGUCAGGACAAUGGGUAUCGACACCGAGAGGUGGAGGCAAUCUCCUAAACCUGUCCUUAGUUCGGAUUGUGGGCUGCAACUCGCCCACAUGAAGCUGGAAUCUGUAGUAAUCGCGUCUCAAAAUGGCGCGGUGAAUAUGUCCCUGCUCCUU